AGUCACUGACAUUAGAUACCCGGGUAGUCCCAGCCGUAAACAAUGUGCGUUAGGUGUGUCGGUAACCACGUGUUACUGAUGUGCCGAAGAGAAAUCGUGAAACGCACCACCCGGGAAGUACGGUCGCAAGGCUGAAACUUAAAGGAAUUGGCGGGGAGCACCACAACAGGUGGAGCCUGCGGUUUAAUUGGAUUCAACGCCGGACAUCUCACCGGAUAAGACAGCUGAAUGAUUGUCAAUCUGAAGGUUUUACAUGACUAGCUG
rnacentral:rRNA from 1 species